UACGUAGGGUGCAAGCGUUGUCCGGAAUUAUUGGGCGUAAAGAGCUCGUAGGCGGUUUGUCGCGUCUGCUGUGAAAACUCGGGGCUUAACUCCGGGCCUGCAGUGGGUACGGGCAGACUAGAGUGCGGUAGGGGAGACUGGAAUUCCUGGUGUAGCGGUGAAAUGCGCAGAUAUCAGGAGGAACACCCGUGGCGAAAGCGGCUCUCUGGGACGGUACUGACGCUGAGACGCGAAAGCGUGGGGAGCAAACAGG
rnacentral:rRNA from 1 species